UUUUAUACCAUUGGUACUAUUCUUAGGACUCAUCUUUAGUAUAAGUAAUUGCAAGCCUGGUGGUCUUAAACCCCAGUCUUGUCAACUUUGCAAAUCUAGGGAUUCUCCUAUACUGCACUUGACCUAAGCUCACAUUUCUCUUGCUUCAUAAACUUGGAGAACAAAGUCUAAGAUCUCUAAGUCACUAAGUGUUGCUAAGACAUCCUAGACUUGUCACCUUGGAUCCUCAUUUAGUCAUCAGUGAUAUCAUCAUCAUGACUAUCUCAUUGACCCCUAUCUUCAUCAUCACUAGGAACAUUUACAUUGCCUAUUACAACCAUCUCAUUACCAGGAGUACUAUGUUGAACAAUCCCUAAGACCAUCCAAUAGGUCACUCUUAGCAAUUUGUGGAGUUCUGCUGUUGCAUGUAUCUUGUGCAAUUGAUAUGUGUUGUGGCAGGGUGAGGGGUAAUCACGAUAACCACAACAGUGUCUCAGGUUAGGACCUGAAAGAUGGUGAACUAUGCCUGAAUAGGGUGAAGCCAGAGGAAACUCUGGUGGAGGCUCAUAGCAAUUCUGAUGUGGAAAUGGAUUGUCAAAUUUGGGUAUAGGGGCAAAAGACUAAUCAAACCAUCUAGUAGCUGGUUCCUGCCAAAGUUUCCCUCAGGAUAGCAGAAGCUCAUGGCAUCAGAUUUAUGUGGUAAAGUGAAUGAUUAGAGGCCUUGGGGUCGAAAUGACCUUAACCUAUUCUCAAACUUUAAAUAUGUAAGACCAAGCUGUUGCUUGAUUGGAUGACUUGUGUGAUUGAGAGCUUCUAGUGGGCCAUUUUUGGUAAGCAGAACUGGUGAUGCAGGAUGAACCAAACAUGGGGUUAAGGUGCUGGAAUACAUGCUCAUCAGACACCACAAAAGGUGUUAGUUCAUCUAGACAGCAGGACAGUGGCCAUGGAAGUCAGAACCCACUAAGGAGUUGUAACAACUCACCUGCUGAAUGAACUAGCCCUGAAAAUGGAUGGUGCUCAAGUGUGUUACCCAUACCUCACCAUCAGCAUUGAAGUGAUGUGCUGAUGAGUAGGCAGGUGUGGAGGUCCAUGAAGAAACCUUGGUGGUGAUGCCAGGUGAAAUGGCCUCUAGUGCAGAUCUUGGUGGUAGUAGCAAAUAUUCAAGCAAGAACCUUGAAGACUGAAGUGGAGAAAGGUUCCAUGGUAACAGCAGUUGGACAUGGGUUAGUUGAUCCUAAGAGAUAGGGAAGCUCUGUUUCAAAGUGUGCAAUUCCUUUGCACUGCCUAUUGAAAGGGAAUCUGGUUAAGAUUUCUGGAACCAGGAUGUGGAUCUUUGAUGGCAACAUAAAUGAACUUGGAGACACUGGCAAGGGCCCAAGGAAGAGUUAUCUUCUCUCCUUAACCAUCUACCACCCUGAAAUUGGAUUGUCCAGAGCUAGAGUUCAAUGGCAGGUAGAGCUUGGCACCCUGAUGCUGAGUCCAGUGCAUCCUUGACAGCCCUUGAAAAUCCAAGGGAAUGAAUGACUUUCACACUCAUAACCACAGCAGGUCUCCAAGGUGAACAGCCUCUAGUUGAUAGAACAAUGUAGAUAAGGGAAGUCAGCAAAAUAGAUCUGUAACUUCAGGAAAAGGAUUGGCUCUAAGGGUUGGGUGUGUUGUAUGAGACCAGAGUCUGCAUAUAUCCCUGAAAGGGAGACUGGGUGCACUCAACUAAAGAUCACUCAAUAGAAGAGGAAAUCCAGCCAUAACUAGCUGGGGUCUAUUUGCUAUACUAGCAGACCCUAUAUACUAUACAGAAUGGCACACAGACCAGGUGCAGUACUCUAGGGCAAGACUAUGUAAAGUAUGAGCACAGUAAGCUAUGGUACCAUGCAGCUACCUCAUGGUAUGACCUCAUAGUCUAGACCAAAGGAAUGUAAGUAGAUAAGGAUUAGAUAUAGAUAAGAUCUAAUCUAAUCUAAUCUAAUCACAAUCAAAGGAAAACAAUAAAAGAAAAGAAAAGAAAAGAAAUAAAGAGGUAAAUGCACCAAAUAAUGGCACCUGACAUGUUGGGCCUUGGUCAGAAGCCUCAGGACCAGGCUGGGACAAUUCAUUGGUGACUUGGAUGGACCAGGCAGGGACCUGGGUGUGGAUGGCCUUGGCUUGCCCUUUGGGGCAUCCAGUGCACACUUAACAACCAACUUAGAACUGGUACAGACAAGGGGAAUCUGACUGUCUAAUUAAAACAUAGCAUUGUGAUGGCUGGGAAGUGGUGUUGACACAAUGUGAUUUCUGCCCAGUGCUCUGAAUGUCAAAGUGAAGAAAUUCAACCAAGUGCAGGUAAACAGUGGGAGUAACUAUGACUCUCUUAAGGUAGCCAAAUGCCUCAUCAUCUAAUUAGUGGAUAGAUUCCCACUGUCCCUAUCUACUAUCUAGUGAAACCACAGCCAAGGGAACAGGCUUGGCAGAAUCAGUGGGGAAAGAAGACCCUGUUGAGCUUGACUCUAUUUUGACAUUGUGAAAAGACAUAGAGGGUGUAGAAUAAGUGGGAGCUCUGGUGCUGUUGAAAUACCACUACCUUUAUUGUCUUUUUACUUAUUCAAUGAGGUGGAGCUGGGAUCAACUGGUCCCACCUUUUGGAUUUCAAGGUACUUUGUGUGCUGAUCCAGGUUGAAGACAUUGUCAGGCGGGGAGUUUGGCUGGGGUGGUACAUCUGUUAAAAGAUAAUGCAGGUGUCCUAUGGGAGACUCAUUGAGAACAGAAAUCUUGAGCAGAACAAAAGGGUAAAAGUCCUCUUGAUUUUGAUUUUCAGUGUGAAUACAAACCAUGAAAGUGUGGCCUAUCGAUCCUUUAGUCCCUCAGAAUUUGAGGCUAGAGGUGCCAUAAAAGUUACCACAGGGAUAACUGGCUUGUGGCAGCCAAGCAUUCAUAGUGACAUUGCUUUUUGAUCCUUUGAUGUUGGCUCUUCCUAUCAUACUGAAGCAGAAUUUGGUAAGCAUUGGAUUGUUCACCCACUAAUAGGGAACAUGAGCUGGGUUUAGACCAUUGUGAGACAGGUUAUUUUUACCCUACUGAUGGAGCAUUGUUGUAACAGUAAUUGAACUUAGUAUGAGAG
rnacentral:rRNA from 1 species